UAGAGUCCGGAUGUCUUAUAUUGUGAGAAAAUCACACUUCACCAACAGCUAGCUGCAGAACAUGAUUUUUACUCCAUACUCCAUUUGUAUGUGUAUAUUUCUACUACUCCAUUUGUAUGAUCACUCUCUGAUACUCCAUAAUCCAUAAUAAUCCCAAGAGAAGAGAAGCGAAGCGAAGAGAAGAGAGCAAGAGUAGAGAAGAGAAGAGUAAGAGAAGAGAAGAGAAUUCUUUGCACUGCUCCUCUUCCUACUCCAAGAACUACUCCUACUCUUAACAGAAAUAAAUUAAGUUAAUUAACUUAAAAAAGAUUUUUCAGUUAAUUAACAGGAGUAGUUCUAAGGUGCAGAGUAGUUUAGUUAAUUAACUAUUCCUACUCCUAAAUUUAAUUUACUGAAGAGAAGAGAAGUGAGUAGAGGAGAAGUGAAGAACACUAAAUUCCUACACUAAAUUACUCAAGCCUUGCUAAAUAGCAAAUCCUAUACUCCAGCACAUAAAAGUUCCUACAGAGCAAGCAAUUGGCUUUCUUCCAAUUAGCUUGAUACUCCACAGAUUAGGUUGCAGCAAAAAUGCACUACAGAGCAAACAAUUACUCCAAACAAGCACCAUUGAUCAGCAUCCUACUCCUGAAAACAAGCACUAUUUGCACUUACAAAUUCGGUGUGAAUUACUGUACAGUAACACUGAUCAUGGGAGUACAAAUUCGGUGUGAAUUACUGGACACCUCCUUUACACAGAACAGUUUGCAACAAUGCUAAUAACUAGCUGGCACUUAAAAAAAUCCAUGGAUUCAACCCAACUAAGCUUGAGUGUGUGAUUGUUUACCAGUGGUAACCAUCUUGACCAUUUUUGGCUGGCUGGUAAUAGCAUUUGUUUUAUUUUGUGGACACAAAAACAACCCUAGCCACACAAAAAACAAUAGGGAAUAUACAUUCUUUUUUCCUUUUGUUUUUGAGGGGAGAAAUAUGCAUUCUGUUGGAUGGCUUCCGUGACUAAACCUGAUUUUCAACACCUUUGAACAAAGUCAUGGUAUAAAUAAAGAGAAUGAAAGAAAAUAUC